rnacentral:rRNA from 1 species
CCCUUAGAUGUCCUGGGCCGCACGCGUGCUACACUGACGCCUACAGCGAGCACUUUCCAGCCCCGAGAGGCGGCUGGUAAUCAGCAAUAGGCGUCGUGAUGGGGAUAGAUCUUUGGAAUUAUGGAUCUUGAACGAGGAAUGCCUAGUAAGCGCAGGUCAUUAGCCUGCGCUGAUUAAGUCCCUGCCCUUUGUACACACCGCCCGUCGCUCCUACCGAUUUCGAGUGGUCCGGCGAAUCUUUCGGACUGCACGCGGCCUUGAGUCGUGUCGCGGAAAGUCAGGUAAACCUUAUCACUUAGAGGAAGGAGAAGUCGUAACA